rnacentral:tRNA from 1 species
GGGGAUUUAGCUCAGUGGUAGAGCGCUUGCCUAGGAAGCGCAAGGCCCUGGGUUCGAUCCCCGGCUCCG